GUUAGUGGCGCACGGGUGCGUAACGCGUGGGAAUCUGCCCCUUGCUUCGGAAUAACAGUUAGAAAUGACUGCUAAUACCGGAUGAUGACUUCGGUCCAAAGAUUUAUCGGCAAGGGAUGAGCCCGCGUAGGAUUAGGUAGUUGGUGGGGUAAAGGCCUACCAAGCCGACGAUCCUUAGCUGGUCUGAGAGGAUGAUCAGCCACACUGGGACUGAGACACGGCCCAGACUCCUACGGGAGGCAGCAGUGGGGAAUUUUGGACAAUGGGGGCAACCCUGAUCCAGCAAUGCCGCGUGUGUGAAGAAGGCCUUCGGGUUGUAAAGCACUUUUGUCCGGAAAGAAAACGCCGUGGUUAAUACCCGUGGCGGAUGACGGUACCGGAAGAAUAAGCACCGGCUAACUACGUGCCAGCAGCCGCGGUAAUACGUAGGGUGCAAGCGUUAAUCGGAAUUACUGGGCGUAAAGCGUGCGCAGGCGG
rnacentral:rRNA from 1 species